rnacentral:rRNA from 1 species
CUACGGGGCGCAGCAGUGAGGAAUAUUGCACAAUGGAGGAAACUCUGAUGCAGCAACGCCGCGUGGAGGAUGACGCAUUUCGGUGUGUAAACUCCUUUUAUGAGUCAAGAAAAUGACGGUAGCUCAUGAAUAAGCACCGGCUAACUCCGUGCCAGCAGCCGCGGUAAUACGGAGGGUGCAAGCGUUACUCGGAAUCACUGGGCGUAAAGGACGCGUAGGCGGGAUAUCAAGUCAGGUGUGAAAUCCUACAGCUUAACUGUAGAACUGCACUUGAAACUGGUAACCUAGAGUAUGGGAGGGGGAGAUGGAAUUAGUGGUGUAGGGGUAAAAUCCGUAGAUAUCACUAGGAAUACCUAAAGCGAAGGCGAUCUCCUGGAACAUAACUGACGCUAAGGCGUGAAAGCGUGGGGAGCAAACAGGAUUAGAUACCCCAGUAGUC